rnacentral:rRNA from 1 species
AAGGCUUGACAUGAACCGGUAACGCCUGGAAACAGGUGCCCCGCUUGCGGUCGGUUUACAGGUGGUGCAUGGUUGUCGUCAGCUCGUGUCGUGAGAUGUUGGGUUAAGUCCCGCAACGAGCGCAACCCUCGUUCUAUGUUGCCAGCACGUGAUGGUGGGGACUCAUAGGAGACUGCCGGGGUCAACUCGGAGGAAGGUGGGGACGACGUCAAAUCAUCAUGCCCCUUAUGUCUUGGGCUUCACGCAUGCUACAAUGGCCGGUACAAAGGGUUGCGAUACUGUGAGGUGGAGCUAAUCCCAAAAAGCCGGUUUCAGUUCGGAUUGGGGUCUGCAACUUGACCCCAUGAAGUCGGAGUCGCUAGUAAUCGCAGAUCAGCAAC